UACGUAGGGGGCGAGCGUUGUCCGGAAUUAUUGGGCGUAAAGAGCGUGUAGGCUGUUCGGUAAGUCUGCCGUGAAAACCUGAGGCUCAACCUCGGGCGUGCGGUGGAUACUGCCGGGCUAGAGGACGGUAGAGGCGAGUGGAAUUCCCGGUGUAGCGGUGAAAUGCGCAGAUAUCGGGAGGAACACCAGCGGCGAAGGCGGCGCUCUGGGCUGGAACUGACGCUGAGGAGCGAAAGCGUGGGGAGCGAACAGG
rnacentral:rRNA from 1 species